GUAGGGUGCAAGCGUUAAUCGGAAUUACUGGGCGUAAAGCGUGCSCAGGCGGUUCGCUAAGACCGAUGUGAAAUCCCCGGGCUUAACCUGGGAACUGCAUUGGUGACUGGCGGGCUAGAGUAUGGCAGAGGGGGGUAGAAUUCCACGUGUAGCAGUGAAAUGCGUAGAGAUGUGGAGGAAUACCGAUGGCGAAGGCAGCCCCCUGGGCCAAUACUGACGCUCAUGCACGAAAGCGUGGGGAGCAAACAGGAUUAGAUACCCUGGUAGUCCACGCCCUAAACGAUGUCAACUAGUUGUCGGGUCUUCAUUGACUUGGUAACGAAGCUAACGCGUGAAGUUGACCGCCUGGGGAGUACGGUCGCAAGAUUA
rnacentral:rRNA from 1 species